rnacentral:rRNA from 1 species
AUUGAACGCUGGCGGCAUGCCUUACACAUGCAAGUCGAACGGCAGCACGGGAGCAAUCCUGGUGGCGAGUGGCGAACGGGUGAGUAAUAUAUCGGAACGUGCCCAGUCGUGGGGGAUAACGCAGCGAAAGCUGUGCUAAUAUCGCAUACGAUCUAUGGAUGAAAGCGGGGGAUCGCAAGACCUCGCGCGAUUGGAGCGGCCGAUAUCAGAUUAGCUAGUUGGUGAGGUAAAGGCUCACCAAGGCGACGAUCUGUAGCUGGGCUGAGAGGACGAACAGCCACACUGGAACUGAGACACGGUCCAGACUCCUACGGGAGGCAGCAGUGGGGAAUUUUGGACAAUGGGCGAAAGCCUGAUCCAGCAAUGCCGCGUGCAGGAUGAAGGCCUUCGGGUUGUAAACUGCUUUUGUACGGAACGAAACGGUGAGCUCUAAUACAGUUUGCUAAUGACGGUACCGUAAGAAUAAGCACCGGCUAACUACGUGCCAGCCGCCGCGGUAAGAC